CGACGAGGGCCACUCCCGCUGUGGCGAGA
rnacentral:sRNA from 1 species